rnacentral:lncRNA from 1 species
AGGAAGGGGGAAAGGAGCUGGCAUCUGUAGGUGACGUGACAUGUGGGUUGGCUCCUCUUCCUCCACUGAAGACUGCAACAGAGGCACCUUAUUACCACCACACAUGUACUCUUCAGGUCUGAUCAUAACAUUGUUUUCUGACACAAUCAAUCUGGCAGCCUCAAGAUCAAUGAACAGAAUUGGUCCAUGGCCAGAGGUGGCAACUUUGCUUAUUCAAGAAAGAAGGAUCUUUGCUCCGUGUUCCUGUAUCUUGCUUCAAGUAUCAGCCUUGCUGUGAAUCCAGUGGAAUAUUCCAGUGACUUUGCUGUUUGGAGUUUAUUCCAGUCGAGACCUUUGCCUUGGGUUUCAUCUUUGACUUUAUACCUUGGAACUAUUCCUGCAUUUGAAUCUUGUUUUAUGUGCCUUGUUUGUGGAUCAUCAUUGACUCUACACCUGGAACCACAUUGGAAUUAA